rnacentral:lncRNA from 1 species
GUAACUUAUUCCACAAUUUAAUAGACGAAGGAAGGAAAUAAUCGGAGUAAAGAUUAGUUCUUGCACGAAUUUCCGAAGUAUUUUGAGUCUGACGAGUAAAAUGGUUAUGUAAAUUAACUAUUUGAUUUGGUACCAAGUUUUGUAAAUAAUCUGGAGUUACCUUAUGUACCAUUUUAUAAAACAUAGUGAGCUUGUGUUUUUCCCUUCUUUCUGAAAGUGUUUCCCAACCCGUUUCCUCAUAAAGCUUCUGUAUCGAAGUUAAUUUAUUCCUAC